rnacentral:rRNA from 1 species
GAUGAACGCUGGCGGCGUGCCUAAUACAUGCAAGUCGAGCGAACAGACGAGGAGCUUGCUCCUCUGACGUUAGCGGCGGACGGGUGAGUAACACGUGGAUAACCUACCUAUAAGACUGGGAUAACUUCGGGAAACCGGAGCUAAUACCGGAUAAUAUAUUGAACCGCAUGGUUCAAUAGUGAAAGACGGUUUUGCUUUCACUUAUAGCUUGAUCCGCGCCGCAUUAGCUAGUUGGUAAGGUAACGGCUUACCAAGGCGACGAUGCGUAGCCGACCUGAGAGGGUGAUCGGCCACACUGGAACUGAGACACGGUCCAGACUCCUACGGGAGGCAGCAGUAGGGAAUCUUCCGCAAUGGGCGAAAGCCUGACGGAGAAACGCCGAGUGGGUGAUGAAGGUCUUCGGAUCGUAAAACUCUGUUAUUAGGGAAGACCAAAUGUGUAAGUAACUAUGCACGUCUUGACGGUACCUAAUCAGAAAGCCACGGCUAACUACGUG